AUUGAACGCUGGCGGCAGGCCUAACACAUGCAAGUCGAACGAGUGGCGGACGGGUGAGUAAUGUGUGGGAAACUGCCUGAGGGGGGGGGAUCAACACUGGAAACGGGCGCAAACACCGUAAACCAUCGGAUGGGCACAGAUGGGAUUAGCUAGUAGGUGGGGUAAAGGCUCACCUAGGCGACGAUCCCUAGCUGGUCUGAGAGGAUGACCAGCCACACUGGAACUGAGACACGGUCCAGACUCCUACGGGAGGCAGCAGUGGGGAAUAUUGCACAAUGGGCGCAAGCCUGAUGCAGCCAUGCCGCGUGUAUGAAGAAGGCCUUCGGGUUGUAAAGUACUUUCAGCGGGGAGGCGUUACCCGCAGAAGAAGCACCGGCUAACUCCGUGCCAGCAGCCGCGGUAAUUC
rnacentral:rRNA from 1 species